rnacentral:lncRNA from 1 species
AUUAACAAUAUUUUAUAAUUAGUGCAUUUAAAUUUUGAAACAAGGCCAUAUACGUGUAACAGAUUUAUAUCUAUUUUUUUUUAUUUUUAUUCAGAGUUUGAUAGAAGAAUAUGAAAGACUUUUGAACAUUUCAUGUGUGUAUGUUAUGAAUUUAGUUAAUAUUUAUUUUAUUUAUAAUACUUUCUUUUUAUAUAAAAAAGAUUUAAUUUAAAUUAUGAAUUUUUUAUUGGAGCAGUAUUAUGAUUUUCAUUUGUAUUCGUUUUUUUUUAUAUUUGAAAUUUCCCGCUUUGAAACGUCGUUGAAGCAAUCAUUAUAAUGGCGGAUAUGUAGUGAUAACGUUUUUAGGAAAUAAGGUUAUGACUUACGUAUAGAUUGUGAUAAAAACGAUUUAUUUAUUGUAUUACUUACUUCAAACAAGUGCCAAGUAAAUAUACACGAUAUAAGAAUAAAUUUAAUAAACUUAAAUAAUUGUUAGCAAUAAAAAAAUGAUAUUAAAUGUCGAACUAUCGAUACAAUAUGUUUGGCAAUAGACAAUCUUAUUUAACUGGUAUAGUUCGGCAAAAAAAUACCAAGUAAUUGGAGUUUAUUGUAGAUUGGAGAGAGAUAGAUUCUUCCACUUUACAUUCAUCAUCAGUACAACAAAAAAAGGGAAAUAAAUUAAAGUACUUUUCUACAUUUGCAUAUAUAAAUGAAGUAUGUAUAUCCCGCAGCUCGAAUAUUAUUUUCUUUUGUUAUUGGUUAUUAUCCCAGUGUAUCUAUUUUUUAAGUUAUGGUCAUGGCUCGGCUGGGAAUUAUUUGUUAACAAUUAAAUCUUACUUAGCAUAUAUAUAUGUACUUUGAGCGAAUCAUUUAUUUUUAUAUGCUCUAUAUAGAUUGCUUAUUGAUGCCAUUUUGAUAAAACUAAUAUAAACCUCGUAAAAGGUAUGUUUGUACUUUUUCUAAACAAAAAAAUCUUUUGGAAUAAAUUAUCUUGAGUACCCAUU